CGAGUCCCGGACCCGGGGGACCGGAAACGCGGCGGCGGGCGGGGAGCGGCGGGCGAGCCGGGUCAGCUGACCGGGCCGGCGGGCGGGGGUCGCGGGCUCCGGGCAGCCCGGCGCAGGGGCGGGAAGGCCACCCUUGCACGUGCUCGGCCGCCCGGUCCGUCAGGGACCGGAGCUGGGGCGGGGGAGGAGGGCCGAGCGCGCCGAGCACGGGGACGACGAGCAGACCUGUUUUGCAUCAAUAAAUUAAGAUGCUCAUUUGGGUCCUGAAGUUGGCCGGUUCCUGUCAGUGUAGACGCUGGCAAAAGCCCUGCAGCCGAGAUGCAUCCUUUACUUCAAAAAAGAAAAGAAAAGCAAGCCCUCAGCUGGCUGCCCUGCUGGGGCCAGGUGACGUGCGAGAUUCCACAGCCCGCGGGCCUCGCAGCGGGGAUGUGAAGGGCGGUCUGAGCCCGACUCUGAAUGGAUUGGAUUGCGAGUUUGCACGUGAGAAGACCGUUUGGCUUGACUUGGACCCCUGCCUUCCCCCACGCCCUCCACACACCCAGUCCAGGGGUCCCCUUAUCACCCUUUGCUUGCAACUCCAAAAGAAGUUGCCCACCUCCUCCCGCUCGGGCUGAAACAUCGAUUCCGUUUCAAAACGAGAAUGGAUUUCUUUUUUUAUUUUCUCCACAUGGUACAAAAUAAACAGAGUUUGCUGUUUUAAAAAAAAUCAUUAGCAGUGGCCAAAUUCGAAUUCCUUCUGCAGCCUGCGUGUUCAAGGGCAGAAGCAGUUACCUCUUCUGGCAUCUGGGCGGGCAGAGGAGUGAGGGGCUGGGGGAGGGGGUGCCUGCGAAAGUUGAGGAAAUUGACAGACUGAGGGGAGUGGGGGGCAGACACCGGGUCCUGGCUGCAGGGAACUGGAAAACAAAAGUGCACCCUUCUCGUCCUACUUGGGUGGAGGGAAUCCUCCUGGGGACAGCAGUUUGUUUUGCCCAAGGAAACCCUGAAGAAUUGUUUUUCCCCUUCAAAGUCGAUUGCAAUAUUAUUGCACAUUUGUAUGGAUCUAGUGUUUGAAUCCCCUUCGUCCUUGCUUAUCUCGAAGUGGAUUAUUCAGGGGGAAGACAGACAAGCAAGGGGCGAUUCAUUUGAAGGACUGUUCUGCUGUGUGAGAAGCCGAAAGCAGCGAGAAGCCCCCGUGCUCUCCUGACUUUUCCCUGAGUCCUGCGCUCCUGUAUCCCGCCGAUCCCACGAUCUCCAUUGUCCUGGACCUAGCCCUCACACUGAGAGACUGUUGCGAACAAAUUUAUAUUCCGGUUUCCCCCUACCCCACUGCCUGCUCAGCGUUUGUGGGAACCCUCUCGGCCACUCACUCGGAGAGGGGCGUGCCAGGCAGGGGCAGUGGGCAGCCUACCCUGCACCCAGUCUUCACGUGCACCUUUCCCAGACAUCCAUCUGGAUGAGAACUUUUUUCUUUUUUCUUUUUACCUCCAAAUGGCUUUAAACACACACACACACACACACACACACACACACACACACACACCAAAUACUCGCCUGUCAGAACUCCCAGUGCUAACUGAUGUUGGGAGCUGCCUUCUGCCACUUGAACAUUACUGAGCCCAGGGUAAUCAGAUGAUUAGGUGUUUUUAAUGGAAAUACUUAAUAGUAUUUUAAGGUUGAUCCUGAAUAACAGGGCGUUUACUAUACAAAAUAAAGCCUAGUGUUCUGUCUGCCAUUGGAGUGGAUCCUUUGACCUAUGGUGACACCUGUGAAUUUGUGUCUGGGCUGUAAACCCCCAAGGGUUACCUGGGCACCUGAAGAGGAAUCUUCCCUAAAAGCAGGCACUGGGCUCCUUCCCAGGACUGGGAGAGGGAUGCCUGAAAGGAAAACUUCUAGAAAAAAAUCUUAACUCUUAUUUUUUUAAUACAAAAGAAAAAAAAAAAGGAGGAGCACCAAAACCACAAUAUGAACAAUGAUGCUAAAUCCCAGGGCAGGAACUUGAUAAGUCAUACAUAUAUUUAGGACAGAUAUUUAAUAGCAAAGCAGUGUAAAAUAUAACACUAAAAUGUGACUGAUCCAUGUUGGAGAUCUUUGAUUUUUUAUUAAUAUUUUUAGAUUGAAGAUCUCUUGUACCUAUAGAUCUUCUGUAGAUACUUUAUCUGUGAUGAGGGUAGGCAAAAGAUUAAUUUUCCACCAGUUCACAUUGUAAUAAAUACUCAAAUUAGGAAAGAGGUGAGUCUACAACCAACUGUGAAAAUCUACUUUCUUGCAUCCUAAAACAAGAGCUAGCUGUGGUCGUGCUCAGGGGCUAUUGCCCCCCUCAAAAAAAUAAAUAAACAUACAAAAAGCAAAGAGCAUGUACCUCUGGGAGAGUGGAUGUGGCAAUCCGUGUGGUGGCUUUUCCCUGUUUUGAAUGCAAUUGCCAGUGACUCUUGCAUUCAAAGUCUUGCUUCAGGCUCCCAUUCAAAGCAUAGUUCAAAGCAGUUUAUCUUAAUAUAAGUAAAAGUCUAGUGUUGGACCAGGGUAUUAUUGGUUUCAGAUCUCUUCACACUAAAAAUAGGAGGCUGCAAUAUAUUUAACAAGGUAAAGCAGAAAAAAUGGUAUGAGGCAGGAUUUUGGUCCUCCUCAUACCUCCACCUCUACCUUUCCAAGGGAGCUCAAAGGCUGUGGGAUUGGAAGUUUAUUUGUGCUCUGAGGUUCUCAAACACUUUCACUGUUUAGAAAAAAGAAAGAGAAAGAAAAGAAAAAAGGCCUCACAGUACUUUAAGAAAUUGAGCCUGAACCAUCAGAGGCUAAGAGAUUUCUUCUUUUUCCGAUAACUGCCUGUGCUCAGCAUCCUCAGAUUUGGCUGUCUUUAUUUACUUCUAUAUUAGUUCCAAUUACGUGCAGUGUAAACCAGCUUUUUGAUUAACAAAACAGCAGAGCAUUGGUUAAGAACACUUAAACUUCAAAAAAAAAAUUCCCCUGGGAAGUGGGCUCUGAAUUGGUUAAUAAUGUGCAGUACUUGCUAAAUUGCUGACUUCCAGAUGUGGAAAAUAUCUUUCUUGUUUAGGACCUAUGUAACCUGAUUGGAUUACGACAGAAGCGUCACGUUGGAAGCUUUUGAGUGAUUAUUUAAUUAACCAUACAGUAGAAAGCUGUAUUCUCCAGGAAAUCCCUUCCAUAUUUGCAUAACCAAUCCCUUCAGAGCAAAGGUGGAGUCUUUUCUUUUUAAUUUUACUUUAAUUGCAAUAUCAAAAAAAUAUGCUCCAAAACUUAGACCCCAUGCCGUUUAAUAUCAUGCUCUCUCCCUUCCCUGCUAAGUUGUCUCUGGCCUUUCUCCUUUUUCUUCUUGUCUCCCUGUACAGACUCCUUCACUUUGUAGUGAGAUCUCGGUGAGAAGUACAGAGAUCCAGAGAUUGGUCAGCCCAGUGCUCUAAUUUACUUAGAGACCUUUUAUUAAAAUGCCAAAGUACUUUUUACUAUCGGGGAUCCAAUCCAGAAAUUCAUCACACACGUACACAUGCGCGCACACACACACACACACACACACUAACACAUGCCCUAAGAUGCAGUUCACAUGUAGCUUUUUUCCCCCAGCUCUAGCAUCUAAAAUAAAUAAAUAAAUAAAUAAAUACAUAAAUAAAUAAGAGAAAGAGCAAAGAAUUGAGCUCCAGAAGCCGUGCUGAGAUUGCCACACAACUUAAUGUGCAUCGCAAAUCUGGUCAUUAGAGAUAUGUGUCUAAGAAGAGGAGAUUUAGAGUGAGGACCCAGGAUCUUUGCCUUUAACUUUCGCCCCUUGGAGUUCUCCAGUUCUGUGAAUGGUGUGCA
rnacentral:lncRNA from 1 species